GUGAGUGAGAAAGCCACGGUCCUGCCUGAU
rnacentral:piRNA from 1 species